UGGAAUAACACGGCUGGCUUUUGGGUGCAACACGCUGAUUGUGAGGAAGCAACAGUCUCUCGUGUAUGAAUAGCUUUUAUGUUGAAAUAGCCGCUCGCAUGUUCGACCAGACCUGAGCCACAUCAUUGGUUAAUCAACGUCGUAUAUCAUCUGCCAGCAAAUUUUCUCAGCUGUUAAAGCAGGACUUUGUCUCUGGCUGUAACAAAACGUGUGUAUGAGUGUGGCAGUGGGAGGCUGCUGAGCACAGGGGACGCGGUCCGCAUGCCUUUGCUGAGCUCUUGGGAUAACACCAGCACACGGGAUAGAAAUUCAGGAAGUACUACCCUGCAAAACCUUUAACACACCCUUAACAUGAGGAAUGACCUGCUGUUGGUGAGAAUUUGGAGGAAUUACAGCAAGGUGCAGAGCUGAGCUGGAUCCACUGAUGGAGUCAGCCUCUGGGAGGUGUGCGUAUAUAAAACAUGGGUCAUGCAGGAAGCUAGGAAAUGGUGCAAAGUUUGUAUGGAGCUUCGAGGUGCUGGGGGAAAGGGUGAGAGAAGGAUUUGGGAGCUGCUGUGGUGCUGGUGGACAUCUCAUGGACAAAUCUUUACCAUGAAUGGUGUUCCUUGGGAUGAAGAGUUCCUGCUGCGAUGCCCAGGCAGUGUGAACACCGUCAGCCUUACUGCAGAAUUUCUCUUCAGGGAUGGCAGCAGUUCUUAUGGGGAAGUGACACAUAGGGACAGUGAGACCGUGGCUGUCACUGCUGCUGGUGUGGUGUUUUGGCCCUGGAGAAAAUGGCACUCAUAGUUGACUUGCUGCUCCCUGUUUCCUGCCUGCAGCAAAGGGAAUAAGUGCUUUAUAAAAUCCCUGCUUUGGUCCCAGCUUCCUUGAGUGACCUUUUUGUGUCUGCCUACAGUUGGUAAAAUGAAGGCAGUAAUGUCCAAUUGCUCUUUAGAAUCAUAGAAUAUCCCAAAUUGAGAGUGAUCCGUAACGAUCAUCAAGUCCAACUCCUAGCCAGUCUCUUUCAGGAAACCAGAGUUUCCUCAUGUGUGUGAGAGAGCAAGAGAAAGCAAAUCUACAUGGGAAGGAACCAUGCUUUUAGGAACAUGUGUUAUUCUGAUUGCAGAAGGACUCAAGGCUCUGUUAAAGCCCAGGGCCAGAUGAGAAGCUCGCGGUGUAAAACUACCUCAAUGCAAAUACUCAUGGACGAAAAGGCAGCAUAGGGUGGGAAGCAGCCUGUUAAGAAGGCUGUAAUGAUGUAACGGUAAUAUGACUGGGCCAGGAGGAAGUAGUAUUAUUGGGCUAAAUUCUUUCCACUUUUAAGAGGCCAAAGCCACUUCUUGCAUGGUUGGGUUCCAUCUCCAGGGUCUUGAAUUUGCCACAUAGCUAACACGCCACAGGGACCUGGCUUUGCCUGAUGGAGGCACAGCACCCACCAAUGAGUGGGUGACAAACUGCACGUUUCCAGGGCUGUGGUUUUCUGGGCACCCGCUGCUGCCAGUCACUCUUGCAAACUGUCGCCAUCGAUUUUGCAGAACGUCAUCCGUCGUAUUUCCUCACGCUCCUUGGAAUGCACUAAAUAACCAAAAGAGCAGCUGACAAAAUAA